rnacentral:misc_RNA from 1 species
UAAAAAAAAAAAAUAUUUAAUCUGUGAGACUUUCAUCUGCAUUGAUAUUACUUCACAUGUGAUGUGGUUUGCAAAAUAGAGCCUAGUAGAGGUUAGGUAAAGGAAGGAACUCAAACCUUUAUUCAGCCUAAUCCUUUAUCCUUCCAUGGUCCCCUCACAAUUCAGCUUAAAAUAAGAACUACAUCAUGUUCAUCACACAAUAGGCAAAUACCCAAAAUUAAAACUAAAACUAAAUCAAAAUUAAAAUCUUCAAGAACUGAAUCAAGAUCAAAACGGUCCCCUCCAGUCUUAUUCAGAUUUAUUCCCUCUAUGGGCCGGAACCAGCGUCUGGGCGGGGCUAUGUAUGGCCACACCCAGGCAAGGCAUAGGCCAAUCCUCUUGGAUAACAAAAAGAUGUGGCGGUGAUUUAAUUGUAGCACGUACGAGAACCAGCCGAUUCAGGGUUUAGCUUUUGUGACGUGUGACUUGUGAAUUGUGAUCCUUCACUUUUGGAAAACACUUUUGAUCUUUGCUUCACAUGAAUUGCUAGAUGAAUCCUCAUUCACCGUAAAGCUACAAAACGUUUGGACCACCCUGCUUCCCUCAAUUAUUUUUCUUCAGUGUGGGACAAACUUUAUAUUCCGUCAACCUAUUCAGCUGCGCUAGCCAAUUAUUUGCUCCCACUUCUAAUUUUUACAGUAACUUAAGAUGUUUAUUAACAAGUUUAAGGUUUACAUUCAAUGUUUAACGCUAAUAUUCUUUGAUGAAUGUGUCGUUGUUUUGGACUUUCAUCUUUGUUUUCAUUUUCAAUGUAGUUGGCAUAUCAAUUACACAAAAGGCACUCAGAUUCAAUACCUUUUUUAAGUGAAGUCAGAUCAAACAACUUCACUUGCCCAUAAUAUAAAACUUAAACUAGUUGGGGAUUACAGUAGAUUGUCAUCUUUCUACUGCAGAUGAGAUCAUAUGGAUAUCAUUUGCAGAUCUUCUUGCUCAGUACUCUUAAAUUUUCUCCUGUCCCGUAUUUUAUUUUCAUAUAACUGAAAUCAGAUUCAAAUUUAAUUGAUCAAAAUCAGCCUUAAAUUAGACUGGAACUAACUAAUUCUGUUCUAUUUUGAAUUAAAAUAA